rnacentral:rRNA from 1 species
AUGGAGUCCGACAAGCGCACGGGGACGCCUUCUCCCCUUCUCCCCCGGACCGCCUCCACCGUCACCUACUGCUGCGGGCGGUGCGGGUACGACCUGAAGCUGAGCUCGUCGGCGCGGGACACGGCGGGGAUCGUGGGGGCCGGCGCCGGCGGGGCGAGGCGGCGGGGCUGGCGGGGCGCGGCGGUGGUGGUGUUCGACGCCAUCGACGACGCGCGGUUCGGCCACCUCGACGAGUUCCGCUGCCUCGACCUGCGCGCGCGCCGCCUCUUCGCGCGCCGCACGCGCCUGCUCUGCCGCAAGUGCGGCGCGCACCUCGGCUUCGGCUACGACGACAACACCACCGCCACCAGGCCGCCGCGGUACCACAUCAAGAUCCGGGCACUCCACCCCGCCUCCUCCGAUGACGCCUUCUCCGGCGCCGCCACGCCGCCUCCGCCGUCCCACGCGCCGGCGGAUCCGCGAUCGUGA